rnacentral:rRNA from 1 species
CAGCAGCCGCGGUAAUACGUAGGGCGCAAGCGUUAAUCGGAAUUACUGGGCGUAAAGCGUGCGUAGGCGGUGAGUUAAGUCUGCUGUGAAAUCCCCGGGCUCAACCUGGGAAUGGCAGUGGAUACUGGCUCGCUAGAGUGUGUCAGAGGAUGGUGGAAUUCCCGGUGUAGCGGUGAAAUGCGUUGAGAUCGGGAGGAACAUCAGUGGCGAAGGCGGCCAUCUGGGACAACACUGACGCUGAGGCACGAAAGCGUGGGGAGCAAACAGGAUUAGAUACCCCCGUAGUCCCUGUCUCUUAUAC